CCUCGGGAGGCAGCAGUAAGGAAUAUUGGUCAAUGGAGGCAACUCUGAACCAGCCAUGCCGCGUGUGCGAAGAAGGCGUUCUGCGUCGUAAAGCACUUUUAAAUAGGAAGAAACGCUUCUUGCGAGAAGCUAUGACGGUACUAUCAGAAUAAGGACCGGCUAACUCCGUGCCAGCAGCCGCGGUAAUACGGAGGGUCCGAGCGUUGUCCGGAAUUAUUGGGUUUAAAGGGUACGUAGGCGGAUUGAUCAGUCAGAGCUGAAAUCCUAUGGCUUAACCAUAGAACUGGCUUUGAUACUGUCAAUCUUGAGUACGGUAGAGGUAGGCGGAAUUUAUGAUGUAGCGGUGAAAUGCAUAGAUAUCAUAAAGAACACCGAUAGCGAAGGCAGCUUGCUGGACCGUAACUGACGCUAAUGUACGAAAGUGCGGGUAUCGAACAGGAUUAGAUACCCUGGUAGUCCGCACCGUAAACGAUGCUCACUCGUUGUUGGCGAUAGACAGUCAGCGACCAAGCGAAAGCGUUAAGUGAGCCACCUGGGGAGUACGAUCGCAAGAUUGAAACUCAAAGGAAUUGACGG
rnacentral:rRNA from 1 species